rnacentral:rRNA from 1 species
ACGGAGGGGGCUAGCGUUGUUCGGAAUUACUGGGCGUAAAGCGCACGUAGGCGGCUUUGCAAGUCAGAGGUGAAAGCCCGGGGCUCAACCCCGGAAUUGCCUUUGAGACUGCAUCGCUUGAACAUCGGAGAGGUAAGUGGAAUUCCGAGUGUAGAGGUGAAAUUCGUAGAUAUUCGGAGGAACACCAGUGGCGAAGGCGACUGACUGGACAAGUAUUGACGCUGAGGUGCGAAAGCGUGGGGAGCAAACAGGA